rnacentral:rRNA from 1 species
UAGCUGGUCUGAGAGGAUGACCAGCCACACUGGAACUGAGACACGGUCCAGACUCCUACGGGAGGCAGCAGUGGGGAAUAUUGCACAAUGGGCGCAAGCCUGAUGCAGCCAUGCCGCGUGUGUGAAGAAGGCCUUCGGGUUGUAAAGCACUUUCAGCGAGGAGGAAGGUGGUGAACUUAAUACGUUCAUCAAUUGACGUUACUCGCAGAAGAAGCACCGGCUAACUCCGUGCCAGCAGCCGCGGUAAUACGGAGGGUGCAAGCGUUAAUCGGAAUUACUGGGCGUAAAGCGCACGCAGGCGGUUUGUUAAGUCAGAUGUGAAAUCCCCGGGCUCAACCUGGGAACUGCAUUUGAAACUGGCAAGCUAGAGUCUCGUAGAGGGGGGGUAGAAUUCCAGGUGUAGCGGUGAAAUGCGUAGAGAUCUGGAGGAAUACCGGUGGCGAAGGCGGCCCCCUGGACGAAGACUGACGCUCAAGGUGCGAAAGCGUGG